CGACGUCGCAAUGCAAAAGAAGAAGGGCAAGAAAGAAACCUGUCCUGGUCUGGCGAUUUAAGGGGACAUUUGUUUAAGCCUGUCUAGAUCUUUUAUCAGUCUAGAAAGAUGUUGGAGAAAAGACAUCAUCCUCUUCUAUAAUCUCCAUCUGUAAUUGGACUAACAACUGGACCAGUGAAUGCAGGCAACUUACUCUCCAUUCGACCUUGCAGGUCACACCAUGGUCUCAAGAGGGAAAAUGAGUGCUCUAUGGAUUGAACAGAAAAAAUUAAUCAAAACUCCAACCAUCUGUAUGAGGGUCUGGAUGGAUAAAGGAUGCCCACUGGAGCUGGAAAUGAUGGAUCAGGUGGAUCCACACUUGAACCAUCUGUAUGAUGAUCUGCACCCACUGGAUCUGUAAAUGGUGGUGCAGAAUUCUGGCCUGGUGUUUGGUCCCCCCUUUCUCUGGCUUGUGUCUCCAUCAUCAUUACACUCUUGUCAGUGUAAUAGUAUCGUCGUCUGCAUACCAGGACUUUGUUACUCAGCUGUCCCUUCUCCUUCAAGCUAC